GGAGGGGUGUCGGAGCGGUUGAACGAGCCCGCCUCGAAAGCGGGUAGGCGUGUGAGCGCCUCGUGGGUUCGAAUCCCACCCCCUCCGCCA
rnacentral:tRNA from 1 species